AACACAUGUGUCUAAAAUAAGGUUGCGUAGAGAUAAUUUGAGGUUAGGAGCUAAAAUAGAGGGAAAUAAACUUUUAUAGUAAGAAGUUAUGAAAGUUGAGGCGUAGAAAUAUUGGAAAAGUUUUAUUAGGUGCGAAAUGUGAUUUGUUUCUUAUGGACGUAUAAAGUGAAAAUGUGAUUUGUUCGAUUACUGGUGUUUUUUACCAAAUAGAUUCUGCUUACAGACAGGCUAAAGACGCCCAAUUCAUCCUUUUUUUGAAGAUGUACGAACCAGUGGAACCUGAUACCAAGGCACGUCUUUCCAGAACACAAUACAGAGGUUUGAGACCAAUAUCUCCGCACUGAAGCACCACUCGAGCUACUAAAUUGUACUAAAGGUUUGUUGGCCCACGGGUGUUAGAUUUAUAAACCGUUAGGUUGAAAAUAUAUUCGGAAAACAUUCGAAAAGGUUUACCUGCUCAACAAAUGUGAUUUAUAUUAACUAAAUGAGUAGACAAUAAAAAAUAUGGAAACAUAUCCCCAUAACUAAAUUAAACUAUGCUCAUGGCUGUCGUGUGCUAAGUUCCUGGAAUAUUUUGUGGUUUAAAGCUAGAUAAUAAAAGGUUCGUAGCUCC